UCGUAACAAGGUUUCCGUAGGUGAACCUGCGGAAGGAUCAUUACCGAGUGAGGGCCCUCUGGGUCCAACCUCCCACCCGUGUUUAUUUUACCUUGUUGCUUCGGCGGGCCCGCCUUAACUGGCCGCCGGGGGGCUUACGCCCCCGGGCCCGCGCCCGCCGAAGACACCCUCGAACUCUGUCUGAAGAUUGUAGUCUGAGUGAAAAUAUAAAUUAUUUAAAACUUUCAACAACGGAUCUCUUGGUUCCGGCAUCGAUGAAGAACGCAGCGAAAUGCGAUACGUAAUGUGAAUUGCAAAUUCAGUGAAUCAUCGAGUCUUUGAACGCACAUUGCGCCCCCUGGUAUUCCGGGGGGCAUGCCUGUCCGAGCGUCAUUUCUGCCCUCAAGCACGGCUUGUGUGUUGGGCCCCGUCCUCCGAUCCCGGGGGACGGGCCCGAAAGGCAGCGGCGGCACCGCGUCCGGUCCUCGAGCGUAUGGGGCUUUGUCACCCGCUCUGUAGGCCCGGCCGGCGCUUGCCGAUCAACCCAAAUUUUUAUCCAGGUUGACCUCGGAUCAGGUAGGGAUACCCGCUGAACUUAAGCAUAUCA
rnacentral:misc_RNA from 1 species